CCUUGCGACCAUGUGGGCUUCGGCCGCAGGUCGGGACAGCGCACACUCUGCUGCGCCAGAGGCACAGGGCUGGGGAAUACCCCCCCCCGUACAGGCCUGAGGCCAGCUGCCCUGAGCUUUGUGCUCCCCCAGACUACGGCCUCAGAUCAGAUGUGGUGACCCGCUGAAUUUAUUACUAAGCGGAGGAAAAGAAACUAACCAGGAUUCCUCAGUAACGGCCAGUGAAAAGGGAAGAGCCCAGCGCUGAAUCCCCGUUCAACGGCAGGUGUGGGAAAUGUGGCGUACAGAAGAUCGACUCCCCGGCAUCGCUCAGGGGACUCAAGUCCUUCUGAUCGAGUCUCACCCCGCGGACGGUGUUAGGCCGGUAGCUGACUUUGGCACGCCGGGAUCAGGUCUUUUUGGAGUCAGGUUGCUUGGGAAUGCAUCCCAAAGCCUGUGGUAAACUCCAUCUAAGGCUAAACACAUGCGCGAGACAGAUGGUUAACAAGUACCGUAAGGGAAAGUUGAUAAGAACUUUGAAGAGAGAGUUCAAGAGGGCGUGAAACCGUAGAGGGGUAAACUGGUGGGGUCUGUGCAGUCCACCCACAGGAUUCAACAUGGCAGGCAGGUCGGUCGCCUGGAACGGUGGAUGCCAUUGCGGGACUGUGGCCCGGGCAGACCCGGCCCCUGCAGAGCGCAUUUCCUCUGUGGCGGUGCACCGCGACGGGCUGGGAAGGCCCCAGGGGCAGGUGGCUCUCUGCUCGGCAGAGAGUGUUACAGCCCCCUGACAGCAGUUUUGCUGUGUCUGCUGGGCCGAGGGAGAUUGACCGCUGCCGUGCCCUUCUCCGGCAACCGUCCUGGCCCCUCUUGGGGGUCGCUGGUGCGGCGACGGGAGACAGGGCUCCCGAUGCGACUGUGGUGGACUGUCCUCAGUGCGCCCUGACCACGUUGUGCCGCUGGGUGGGGAGCCCCACAAAGGGUGCCAGGGGUCUGAGGAGUCUUAACAUGUGCACAAGUUGGAGGGCCGAAUGAAACCCUGUAGUGCAAAGAAGGUGAUGGCCAGCGCGUGCCGAUUGCAGUGGGAUCCUGUCGCGGUGGGCGAACCACUGACCCGUCUCGCCCGCUCUCAGGGAGAUGGAGCAUGAGCGUCUGUGAUAGGACCCGAAAGAUGGUGAUCUAGGCCUGGUGGAGGUCCGUAGCUGUCCUGAUGUGUAAAUCGGUCGUCUGACCUGGGUAUAGGGGCAAAAGACUAAUCAAACCAUCUAUUAGCUGGUUCCCUCUGGAGUUUCCCCUUAGGAUAGCUGGCACACAGAAACCACAGUUUUAUCUGGGAAAGGGAAUGAUUAGAGAUCUUGGGGUAAAAAUGAUUUCAACCUAAUGUGUAUGAAGCCCGUCUCGCUGGCGUGGAGCCAGGCAUUGAAUGCCAGUGCCCAGUGAGCAACUUUGUUAAGCAGAACUGGCGCUGCAGGAUGAACCGAAUGCUGAGUUAAAGCGCCCGAUGCCGAUGCUCAUCAGACCCCAGUAAAGGUGUUGUUUGAUAUAUGGAAGUCGGAAUCCGCUAAAAGAGGGUUCUCUUUUCUUUGUGAAGGACAGGGCAACCUGGAAUAGGUUCGCCCUGAGAGUAGGGCCCGAGUCUUGGAAAGCAUUGCGGUUCCGGUGGCGUGCGGUGGGCUCUCGCUGGUCCUUGAAAAUGUGGGGGAGAUGGUGUAAAUCUCGUGCUGGGCCGUACCCAUAUCCGCAGCAGGUCUCCAUGGUGAAAAAACUCUGGCAUGUUGGAACAAUGUAGGUAAGGGAAUUCGGCAAGUCAGAUUUGUGACUUCGGGAUAAUGAUUGGCUCUGAGGGCUGGGUCGGUCGGGCUGGGUAGCGGGGCAGGCCGUGCACCGCGGCUGGAGGCGGCAUCUCAUUCCCCUCCCCCUGGGGGCGGCGCCCGACUCUGGUUGCGAGCCAGGCCCUGCCUGUGGAUCGCAACAGCUGCAGUGGUCGCCUCUAUCCGUUCCCCUCCCAGAGUUCGGGCCUGACGUUCUGCCUAGGCUGAUGCCUAGCAGCUGACUUAGAACUGGUGUGGACCAGGAGAAUCCGACUGUUUAUUUAAAAUGAAGCAUUGCGAAGGCCUGAGAUGGUUGUUGACGCAAUGUGAUGUCUGCCCAGUGCUCUGAAUGUCAAAGUGAAGAAAUUCAAUGAAGCGCAGGUAAAGGCGAGAGUAACUAUGACUCUCUUAAGGUAGCCAAAUGCCUUGUCAUCUAAUAAGUGACGCGCAUGAAUGGAUGAACUAGAUUCCCACUGUCCCUACCUAGAAACCACAGCCAAGGGUCAAGUCCAAGACGGGGUGCCUUUAGCAGGUCCCUUUCCUCCAUGUUGGGGUAAAUGCACUCACAAUUGCUGGCCUUGAGUUCCAAAGUGUUUGUGGGUUAGUCCCGGAGGGAAAGGCUCUAAUGUGGUGGGAGAAGCUCAAAAGGGGGCCUGGCCAGAGCUCCAGGAGAGUGCUGCCCCCCCGGCCUUGGGCGCCUGUCUCACGUGUGGGUCGACUGUCGCUCACCGGAGGGAUAGCUCCAAGGCGGGCGAGAAACCUCUUGUGUGGAGGGGGGGGAGCUCUAAGGUGUCCUGGCCAGACCUCGAGGAUGACCAUUGGUGCUGGCCCAUGCCUUUGGGGACCUGCCGAACCUUUGUCAGGCGGGGGCCAAAGGCCCUUCCCAUCCAGGCCCAUUGGAAUGCAUUGCCCUACCAGAUGGCCGCUCUCCUAGCCCGGCCAUCUGGUCGUUGGCAAUAGAAAUGACUGCAAGGACAAGAUGGCUGGGCUGCUCUGGAAGUCCUGAUGGAGGUCAAUUUAAAAAUGUUCUCCAGUUGGGUCUUAUAAGGAGCCCGGACGCUUUU
rnacentral:rRNA from 1 species